ACUGACAGAAAUCAAUAUACGGAAGAAAAAAUAAGAGGCUUAAAUAUAUAUUUAUAGAUGCUUAGAAACUAGCUUUCUACUAUAUCCAGUGUUAAAGUCCUCAGAUGAGGAAUAAAGGUGAAAAGCAUCAAGUUGAGAUCUUAAAUAGCUACAGUAGAAAUCCAAAAUAUCAAACCACUGUUAAGCCAAAAUAAUAAAAGCAGAACUCAAACUAUCAAACCACUAUUAGCAGCGAAAGAUAUAUUAACCGUAUUCACUGUUAAGCUAAUUAUCACAGUAUUCUAUGCCAUGCCUACCAAGUACCAAUUAAUAUCAAAUUAGGAAACAUCCCUAGACAUAACAUCAUAGAAUGAGGAACAAACAAAAUUGCAUAUGUCAAAAAUCCACUUUACACAAUUGUCACAAUAACCUAUGAGUCAUUAUUUCCUCUGGAUGUCAUCACACACCCAUACACAAGCUCUUCCCUUUUCCUUCAAGUAAAACCACUGUUUAAGAAACCACAUGCAAGAUAU
rnacentral:misc_RNA from 1 species